rnacentral:rRNA from 1 species
GCAACCCUGACGGAGCAAUACCGCGUGCGGGAGGACGACCUGUGGGUUGUAAACCGCUUUUCUCAGGGAAGAAGGACUGACGGUACCUGGGGAAUCAGCAUCGGCUAACUCCGUGCCAGCAGCCGCGGUAAUACGGAGGAUGCAAGCGUUAUCCGGAAUUAUUGGGCGUAAAGCGUCCGUAGGUGGUUGGUCAAGUCUGCUGUUAAAGAGCGGAGCUUAACUCCGUUUUGGCGGUGGAAACUGACUGACUAGAGAGUGGUAGGGGUAGAGGGAAUUCCCAGUGUAGCGGUGAAAUGCGUAGAUAUUGGGAAGAACACCGGUGGCGAAAGCGCUCUACUGGGCCACAUCUGACACUGAUGGACGAAAGCUAGGGGAGCG